CUGCAUCAUUUGUUGAAAAUACUAUUCUUUUUCCAUUAAAUUGUGUUGACACUUUUGUUGAAAAUCAAUUAGUCCUAAAUAUUGGGGUUUAUUGGUUAUUACUUAUCAGCUCAAAGUUCCAUUUUAAUUCUCCUUUCUUUACCUAGUUUCUGAUUGUUACGUAUCUGGAAUUAGAAGUGAAGCUCACCUAAGGUAAUUGGGUAAAGUGAUUGGAUGAUUUAGAAAAUAGAGACAAAGAGAUAAAGUUUUCCCACCAAAUGAAUCAAUCUUCAG
rnacentral:lncRNA from 10 species